rnacentral:rRNA from 1 species
UGGGGAAUCUUGCACAAUGGGCGAAAGCCUGAUGCAGCAACGCCGCGUGCGGGAAGAAGGCCCUCGGGUUGUAAACCGCUUUCAGAAGGAACGAAACUGACGGUACUUUCAGAAGAAGGUGCGGCCAACUACGUGCCAGCAGCCGCGGUGACACGUAGGCACCAAGCGUUGUCCGGAUUUAUUGGGCGUAAAGAGCUCGUAGGCGGUUCAGUAAGUCGGGUGUGAAAACUUUGGGCUUAACCCAAAGCGUGCAUCCGAUACUGCUGUGACUUGAGUACGGUAGGGGAGCGGGGAAUUCCUAGUGUAGCGGUGAAAUGCGCAGAUAUUAGGAGGAACACCGGUGGCGAAGGCGCCGCUCUGGGCCGAAACUGACGCUGAGGAGCGAAAGCAUGGGUAGCAAACAGGAUUAGAUACCCUCGUAGUCCCUGAGCGGGCUGGCAAGGCGCAU